CAGAGGCAGCGGCGGCGGCGGCGGAGACGGAGAGAGGCAGGCAGGCAGGGCGAGGGCGAGAGACGGAGGGAGGGAGCGAGCGAGGCAGACCAGACAGACAGACAGGCGGGCGGGCGGGCGGGCGGGCAGAGCGAGCCACCCGCCAGGCUGCGCUCAGCCCCGCUCGCAGCGGAGAGAGCAGAAGGCAGGAGGAGGGAGGGGAGGAGGAGGAGGGAGGGAGAGAGGGAAUCCAGCUACCACCACCCAAAGCCAGCGUCUGCUUUCUGUCCUCAUUUCCUUUUCCCACCCAGCUCGGAAAGCGGAGAAAGGCAGAGAGAGCGAGAGAUAGAGACAGUCAGAGAGACAGACAGACAGCCAGAGAGCGGGAGGGAGGAGGGCGGAGGAGGAGGAGGAGCAGGAGGAGGACUACGCGGGGCGCGUUCCCUCCCAGCAGCCGGGCUCCCGCGUCGCUGCCGCCGCCGGAAGACAGACGCCCCCCAAAGCCCCUCGCCUGGCUCGGACCCACGGAGCCGGCAGCCCAGCACUCCGAUGGGAGCGUGCCUACCUGUCUACCCAUUGGCCUGGACCCCAGAGCCUGCCCAGCUAAGUGCGUGCAGAGGGCCCCGACUUCGGGGCAACCCUCAGGCUGCCGCAGGGACUACCCUGGAAUCCCUGGCGAAGACAGGCCUUUCCUGCUGAGUUGGACCUUGUCUACACAGCUUGCUCAGGCGCUGUCCACGCCCCGAGGCCUGGGCUCAGGCCGAAGCCGCUCCCCAGCACCCCCAACUGACAGCCAGCAACCGGCAGAGCCCCCAGGCACGGGGGCCCUCUCUCUUCCAGAGAUCUCCAGAGUGACAGCCCAGGCGGCAGAGCCGAGGGUCUUGGUCCCGGCUUCUCGCACCCUCAUGUCAGCCCCGGCCCCGCCCGGCGGC
rnacentral:lncRNA from 1 species